AACGUAGGGCGCAAGCGUUAUCCGGAGUUACUGGGCGUAAAGCGCGGGCAGGCGGUCUUGCCAGUCUGAUGUGAAAUCUCCUCGCUCAACGGGGAGCAGCCAUUGGAAACUACAAGACUGGAGUCUGGUAGAGGUAGGCGGAAUUCCGGGUGGAGUGGUGAAAUGCGUAGAGAUCCGGAGGAACACCAGAGGCGAAGGCGGCCUACUGGGCCAGUACUGACGCUGAGGCGCGAAAGCCAGGGGAGCGAACGGG
rnacentral:rRNA from 1 species